rnacentral:miRNA from 1 species
ACCGUGUUUCUCUGCCCAAUC